CCCUCUUAUCUCUCUACCUCCCUCAGACUCUCCAACCCGCAUUCUCUCUGCAACCCCUCUUCUUACACUAUCUUCCCCCAGAUUCGGUCCAUCUCUCUCUCAUAUCUCCCUCCCUCCCUCAGACUCCUUUCUCUUACCUCUGUCUCUCUUUCUCCAAGACUCCAACCCCCUUUCUAUCUCUACCUUCGCCAGAUUCAAUUCAUCUCGUUUCCUUUCCUAAUUUCUCUCAUAUCUGGGCUUUUCCGCCUGACACCUCGACGAUCCGAGUUGUCUUGACUAGUGACGAGGUUCCUAUGACCGUGCAAGCAUCAGGGCGCUGGAGGAAGGACAUGAAAGGCUGUGCAAAUCCCCAGGAACUCUGCUUGCAUGUUUGCUUUUUGUGGGUUUGAUUUUUUUUUUUUUUAAUAAUUUUUUCACAAAUUUUGAUUUUUUUUGUAUUUUAUCCCGCAGGAAACUCUACUUCUCCUCAGUGCAUUCGAAAAUUUCAAUGGAUGAGUUUCUGAUGUCGGAAAGUUUGACUGUACAACCUGGAGUUGAAGAGAAAUAGGAUCUGAGUCAACAUCUUAAUUGUAAGAAGAGGAGAUUUGAAUCUGUAAGUGCAGGUCUCGGAUUGCUCCGCUCUCUCAGUAGGCUAUCAUAGCAGGGGCUAUCAAUACUGGGUUCUAUGUAGAGAUCUCAAAGUUCAUAGAUCUGAGGAAAGAAAGGGCAUGCUAACUAGUCGGCCGAGCUCGGCCGGGAGUGAAAUAUGCUAAUGUGGCUUUGGGUGCACUGCUGACUUCUGCGUCUUGCGAUUGGGGCCGAGGAAGGAACUCAUCUCGGUUUUUUUGAGUUCUAGAGCCUGAAGACAAGGUUGCUAGUUUCUUUGAAGUUCACAAGUUGUUAGCGCCGGGUUCGGUCUCGGUAAUUAUAUUCAAAAGAGAUAAAUGUACUUCCGAAUAUCUAAUCAUAAAAUAAACUCGGCUUUCAAUGUGCCGAGCUUGGUAACA